rnacentral:rRNA from 1 species
GAUGAACGCUGGCGGCGUGCUUAACACAUGCAAGUCGAACGGUGAACGAGGGAGCUUGCUCCCUCCGGAUCAGUGGCGAACGGGUGAGUAACACGUGAGCAAUCUGCCCUGGACUCUGGGAUAAGCGUUGGAAACGACGUCUAAUACCGGAUACGAGGCGUGGGGGCAUCCCCAACGCCUGGAAAGAACUUCGGUCCAGGAUGAGCUCGCGGCCUAUCAGCUUGUUGGUGAGGUAACGGCUCACCAAGGCGACGACGGGUAGCCGGCCUGAGAGGGUGACCGGCAACACUGGGACUGAGACACGGCCCAGACUCCUACGGGAGGCGGCAGUGGGGAAUAUUGCACAAUGGGCGCAAGCCUGAUGCAGCAACGCCGCGUGAGGGACGACGGCCUUCGGGUUGUAAACCUCUUUUAGCAGGGAAGAAGCGAAAGUGACGGUACCUGCAGAAAAAGCACCGGCUAACUACGUGCCAGCCGCCGCAGUAAUAC